rnacentral:lncRNA from 1 species
GGGUCUUGGGAGUGAUUAUGCGUGUCUCUUCUGCCAAUCUCUCCAGGAAACAGGAGAUAUCUUGUUCUAUGAAUGCUCUUACUCUAACUCCGUUUGGUCCUCGGUUUAACAAAAACUGUCUUUCACCACAAGAGAUCAUUUUUGGAAUGAGAUACCUCUCGGCCUUAUAAAUUUCUCAAGGAAAAAUAACUUGAAGUACCUGACUCUGUUGGCUUGGCAAGUCACUAUUUACAAGGUCUGGCGUGAAAGGAACAACCGUCUACACACACCGCAAUAUAUAUAUCUCUCUG